AAGAAGAUUUUUGUAUUUUGUUUUUGACUUUGUAGCAGCAAGACUUGUAUUAAUAUCUGGUGGUUGCUAGAAGGUUUAUGGAGUUUCAAGAGUGAGAGGUACUUGCGGACAAUUUUGGCAUAUCCACUGAAUAAUUUUUGGUUUAGUGGCAUACUCAUAUUUGGAUUGAGCCCACCACCUUGUUUUGAAUAGUCUCCAAAGUGAUAAAGGGUAAAUAGGAGUUUCAAUGAAAGUAUACUCCCAUGCCAUAAUCCAUGAGAGUGCAAACCGAGAAUAAAAUUCAAGGAGGA
rnacentral:lncRNA from 1 species